GAUGAACGCUGGCGGCGUGCCUAAUACAUGCAAGUCGAGCGAACGGACUUGAUGCUUGUUUCUCUGAUAUUAGCGGCGGACGGGUGAGUAACACGUGGAUAACCUACCUUUAAGACUGGGAUAACUUCUGGAAACCGUAGCUAAUACCGCAUAAUAUUUUUAACCACAUGUUUUAAAAUUGAAAGACGCUCUUGCUUUCACUUAUAGUUGUAUCCCCUCUUCAUUAGCUAGUUGGUAAGUUAACGGCUUACCAAGGCAACGGUCCUUAGCCGCCCUGAGAGGGGGAUGGGCCAAACGGGAACUGAAAAACGGUCAAAACUCCUAGGGAAGGAAGAAGUAGGGAAUCUUCCGCAAUGGGCGAAAGCCGGACGGAGAAAGGCGGCGUGGGUGAUGAAGGUCUUGGAAUCGUAAAACUCUGUGAUAGGGGAAGAAGAUAGGUGGAAGUGAAAGUGCACAAAGUGACGGUAACUAAUCAGAAAGCCACGGCUAACUACGUG
rnacentral:rRNA from 1 species